GUGUGCAUAUAUAUGUGUGUGUAUAUAUAUGUAUGUAUCUGCGUGUGUGUAUAUAUAUAUAAUUUAAUCUUCACCACAACCCUCAAAAGUAUGUAUAAUUAGAGCUGAAUUAGGUGAGACUUUAGAUCUUAUUCACCAUUGUUUAUCCAUCUCCUAGUAUAGUAUCUGGUGAAAAAGCACUCAUUACACACUUAUGGAGUGAAAGAGAAAAUAGAUUUCUACUUUGCUGAUGAUAAAACUGAGGCUUAGAGAAUUUGUGUCAUCUUUCCCAGUAUCAAUCAGCAGACCCAGGACUUGAAUGCAGGUAUGUCUGACAUAAAAAUAUAUGUUAUUAAGAGCAAACUGACGUACAAUACAAUAAUUUUUCUGUACAAAGUUAUUGGACAUAUACUUUGGAUCUCAUAUUGCCUAUGAAUAUUCUAAUAGAAUGAAACUUUGGUAUUAUCUCCAUUUUGUAAAAUUAUGUCGAUGUUCUAGAGCAGGGAUCAGUAAACUCUUCCUGUAGAGGGUCAGAUGAUAAGUAUUUUAGCCUUUGCUGACCAUACAGCCUUUGUCCCAGCUACUCAAUUCUUCCAUUGUAGUAUGUGGACAUGGCUGUAUUCUAGUGAAACUCUAUUUACAAAAUCAAGGAGUAGCCUGUAGACCAUCAUUUGCUGACCCCUGUUCUAGAAGAGUACCGGGAACCUAAUAGAGGUCCAAACAGUAUUAAUCGUCUAAGUGAGUGGCUGCAGUAAGUGCUAGAGGGAAGCUCACCUCACCAGAAGUGGUUAAGUGGGGAGGUGGGGCCUUGGUAGGAUGCUGGCAGGUAGAGAUGGGUGGCAAUGGCUUUCCUCAUUGGAGGCAGAGUCUUGUGUGAUGUUAGGAGGCAAAAGUAUGCGAGGAAGGUGGCAUGUUGUUUUAACAAGUGAGCUGGAGAUUAGAGAUGUAAUGGAAUGAAUGUUUGACAGCUCAUUAGAGUCCUCACACAUAGCCAUAUCCCUUCUAAUCAGUGUCUGUCCAAUAGUUCACUCAGUAGUUAUUUUAAAAACAUUUAUUAUAUAUUAGGCACUGUGCUAAAAAACCUAGGUAUAAAAUAUUUAAAAAUUAAAUGUAGACCCUGCUCUCACAGAACUUGCCUUCUAUUGGGAAUAUAUACGUUAAAAAACACACGUGAAUAUGAAUAUGAAACCUGUUAAAGAAGGAAGAUCCUUUAAGAGAAUAAAGUACAUGUUCAUUAUGAAAAUUUUGACUGUACAGAAAAUUCUAAAAGAGAAAAUCAAAUUUACUUCUAGCUGUGCCAGAGACAGUCAUUAUAAACAUUUUUGAUGUGCUAUAUUUCCUUCCAGGCUCAGUGUGUGUGUGUGUGUGUGUGUGUGUGUGUGUGUGUCAGAGACAAAGAGAGAGAUGAAUGGAGAAUGCUAGGAUUCUAUGCAAAACAACAUCAUCUAUAGGGUUUGUUUGUUUGCUUUUGCCCCAGACACAAACUGUUAGCAUUUUUCUAUGAUAUUCUAUAGUUGAACCACAAUUUUGCCUGUUGCCUAAUAAUGAAAGUUUAGAUUAUUUCCAAUAUUUGCUAUACUAAUUCUGAAAUAUAUAAAUAAUGUAUUUGGUUAUGUUAUAGACUCUAAAUCAUGUCUUUGGUUAUGUUUUAGAACAAGUUUCUAAAAGUAGCUUACUGGGUUAAAUGGUAUGAACAAUUAUGUUUCUAGAUGAUAGGACUAAAUUACCUUCUAAAAUGGCUAUCCCAAGGAAUACCUUUGUAAUUACUGUAGGCGUUUUCCACUUUUGUUCUAUCCAUAUUUUGCUUCCACCUCACAUUGUCACAAAUUUUCAAGGUGCUUAAGUUUAUCCUAGGAAACUUAUGUGGGGUGAAGAUCAGAGAAAAAAUUCUUAAAGAUACAGCCAUUGAAUUUUAAUUUGAUCCCAUUGCCCUUCUACCCCGCAAAGCUCCAGGUACUUCGACCCUUUCUGAGAGGAGAGGCAGGCUCAAUUCUCAGCCUCUGCCAUUAAGCACAUGGGUGAGUAGUUUGUACCCUGGGAUUCAGUUGCCCACCUAUAUUAAAUAAAAUUACUUUCAUGGUUCCAGGGCAUCAUUUGUAGAUGAGUAUAUGGAACCUGGUGACCCAGAAAUGUUAAUUUUCUUCAAACUGAACAAGUUUCUAAAGGCAAGAUUACUGGAUUAAAUGGUAUGAACAAUUAUGUUUCUAGAUGAUAGGAAUAAAUUUCCUUCUAAAAUCGCUGUUCCAAGGAAUACCUUUGUAAUUGCUAUGGCCCUUUUCCACUUUUGUUCUGUCCAUAUUUUCAGUGAGCGAUUUUUAGUCCACUUUCAAAGUAUAUUGGCUGUCUGCAUUUCAGCAGUCUUUGGGGGUUACAGUUGGGAGUCGGUGUGAAAUCUCAAUUCAUUUAGCCUGAGUAUUUAUUUAGAACAUUCUUCCUCUUUGAAGUGUCUUGGGUUAUUGAAAUAAAAAUAUUAAGCUCUUUGAGGCAUUUUUUUAAUUUAAAAAAGUUUAUACAAUAUUUUAAAAAUUAUACGCAGGAUAAGCACAUAAAAUUUAAAGGAUGGAUGGAUGGAUGGAUGGAUGGAUGGAUGGAUGGAUGGAUAGAUGGAUGGAUGGGCAGUUGAAUGGAUAAAUAUUUGUGGUGGUUAGUAGGUGACCCAGUUGCCUUCUCAGAGGACUAAAAGUGUUAAAGCAUCUUCUAGAAACUCCAAGUUUCAAUGGAGAUUUGGGGGUGCAAUAUUAAAAUCUACUUUUCAUCCUCUUCCUCUUCUGUCUUGGAGCCAAGGGUAGGUGGGAUUAAUUAGAGUAGCGCAGAUCUGUAGGGACAUGCAAACUGGAACUCAUCAAUGGUGCCAGUUUAAAAGGAGAAGAUAUGACAGGCAGAGAAGAGCUUCCCUAGAACCCUGAACUAUCAGAAGAGAUUAGGACAGUUUAGUGUUUCCAGCUGACAUAUCCUGCAAUGACUAAUUUCUAAUCCCUUUUCCUAUUCUGUAGGAUUAGCCUGGGUGAAACUGACAUACUAUGUUUUAGAAGUCAAGACCUUCUGGUCACUUAAUAGGAUAUAGAGGGAAAGUUUUGGGUGCAGUUCCAUUUGUGAACAAGAUGUAUUUUUCUGUAGGUUCUCUGACCCCUUCUGGGGUCAGAGAUCAGAAACUUGGUAAGCACCCACCAGGACCUACAAAUCUCUGUGCACUGUGGAAAAAAAAAAAAGCAAAAGCAGUCUGAUUAUCGUAUUGUACUUCAGCUGGCAACAUGCUUACUCAGUCCUCAAGCUUCCUCAGCACAAUUUGAGAUGGAAAUUUUCUGAUCAGAAUUUUUCCUAUAAGUCUUAGAAACUUGGAUUUGAGCCCAUUAUGUAAGCCAGGGUUUUUUUUUUUUUUUUUUCCAAUUACUUGACAAGCAGGUUGCCUUUGAGUCACUCAUAUGAAUGGCCUUGAUGUAGACAUUGGCACAUGCUGAAAAGGCAAAAAAAAAAAAAAAUUUACUUUUCUUUGACCCUUUAAGAAGAUUAGUCUGUUCACAGUUUUCUCCUGUGCUUAUAAACCUUCAUGUUUCCUGCCUGUCCUCUCAUCUUUUAAGUCUCUCCUAAUUGAUCUUCAAAGCAUUGAGGCUGGCUUGUGCUGGGUCCUCACUACUCCAGGCCAUUCCUGCUUCCCCUUCCCUGGUACCUGCAAGGCCUGCCUCCAGUCCACAUUUUCCUGUGAAGUUUUUCCUGAAUUCCUCAAGUUGUUUGAUCACCACAGCAAUCCUAUGAGCUUAUAGAUAUUUUCCCCAUUUCACGAAUGUGGCAACUGAGGUCCAAGUUCAGACAGCUAGAUCUAAAGACACAGAUCCUGCACGUCAUCUCCCCAACAAGACAGACACUCCAAGAAGGCAGUGACCACAUCUUUCCCUCUAGUUUACCAUACAAAGGACAGUAGGGUUCUUGGCACACAGGUGCUUAGUAAUGGUUUUUGAAUUUGAUUUCAAUUUGAGAGUAGAUUAACAGCAUUUCUGUAGUUAGGAGAGCAGCCAGUUACAUAUUCUUUUCUUGGGAGUUUAGACUUGCAGGUCCCUCUGAAUGAGGUAAAGCCAGGUCCUCCUACCCCAACUAAAGUUUAAAGAUGCAGGGGAGAUGUCAAAAGAUGUGAUCUGAGAUUUCUGCAAUCACUUGGAAACUGUACUGGCUAAUUAAGAUCAUAAUAGAUUAUUUAUUCUUUCAUUCACUCGUGUUUAUGCGUGUGUUCUUUCACUCUUUAACCAUUCAGCAGGUAUUUACUGAGCAACUGAAACUUCAUUCAUAUUAUAUGAGUUAUUACAUGAUAAUAUCAAUAAGAAAAAUUAUGUGAAAGUUUAUUAAUAUUGGCUAUGAGGGGGAUGAAAGCAGCAAGCCAAAAAAAAAAAAAAACAAUGCUGUAUUUUAAAGAAAGUCAAAGGUAGCUUCAUCCAUGAUAAAAAGGUGAGAAAACUGAGAUCCAGUGGAGUUAAUCAACUUGUCUAUGAUCACAUACCUAGUUUAUGGUGGAGAAAAGACUGAGGUUUAGAGACUGAUUCAUAAAACCGAGCUCUUUCUAUGAUAUUGGAAUAUCAGAUAAAUCAAUAAACUCCCAACUAGAUGAAAUCUUAUAGUCUUGGAAAAAAGUGCAUCUGCUUGCUGACUCUCUGUAAGACACUGACCACUAACAUUUUUAGAACAAGGUUCUUUGGGUGGAACAACUUGGUGUGCUUUACACCUUUGAUUUUGGGGCUUGGGCAUGGGUUGUGUCUCAUUCCUAAAGUCACUCAUUGUUACUCUUGCCAAGUGGAAGAGUCUCUGGAACCACAUUCCUGGACAGUGGUGCAAGCCUUAAAGCACUAGGGUUUGGUGAUAAUAAAGACAUAGAGAAGCCAGUGGAUUUACUUUUAUGUCAUGGCUGUAUAUUGCGCUCAAGUAUCUAACUCACAGAUAUCUACCAUUUGGAAUGAGCAAGAAAAUAGGUAAGAAAAACAAUGGAUUGAUCAUCACCAACACCAUUCUGAUCCCCAGAAACUAGUCACUAAUUUACUAGUGACUAGUAAACAACAUUUACUGAGUACUGUGUGUAUUUUUUUUGCCUCAUUUCCAUUUUAUUAUGUAAGCAGUGAAAUCUUUGAUAAGAAGAUGGGCUCAUUACUUAAAUCCUCUAACUGCAGUUGCCCCUAUGUAAAGUUAAGACAAUAGUAGUAACUACUUUCCAUGGUUGUUGUGAGGAUUAAGUGAGAUAAUACUUGUACAUGGCUAGUUCAGUCCCUGACACAGAUUAAACAUUCAGUGAGUAGUUGGUUGUUUUUAGUAGUUUUAGAAGACUUAAGUGGUCAUAAGUAUUAUUUGCACUGGACCACAUACAUUUUUACCCUCCCAACCCUAGAGUUUAGAAUUAUAUGAAAAAAGUAGUCAAGAAAACAGACUCUGGAGAUGACUGGGUUUGUAUCCUGGCUCCACCACUUGCUAGUCCUUGGGCAAGUUAUUUAACCUCUCUAAGCCCAGGUGCCUCAUCUGUAAAAUAAAGAUAACAAUGCUUAACCUCAUAAGGCUAUUGUAAGUAUUAAAAGUGACGGUGCCUGUAAUGUGCUCAUGACAGUCCCAGGAAAAUAGUAGGUAGUAAUUGCUAAAUGUUAAGCUGUAUUUUUAUUAAUGUUAGUACAGUUGGCUGGGCAUGGUGGCUUAUGCCUGUAAUCCCAGCACUUUGGGAGGCC
rnacentral:lncRNA from 1 species